AUGUGGAGAGACAAAUGUGUGUUUCUGUGCAAAAAGGACCUUCGUCUCUGUUGUAUUUGCUUCCGAUAUUCGGUGCCAUCAAACCAGAGCCACACCCCUAUUUCAUCUCCCAACUGCUUCCGGACGGCGGCGGCGGCGCUCCAGCUCCGGCGUCACAGCAGCGGCAUGAGAUCGACGGCGACCAUGGUGGCGACUGCGACGACCCCGUCGCGGACGUUAUUCUCCCCCAUCGUUAGACUUCUGGUACAGAAGGGAGCCGGGUUGGGAACAAGAAGCUCCCACGCCAUCACCCUCAUCAGCAGCAUGGCCUACUCCUUCGGCUGUGAAUAUGCCUUCAACCUCAAGGCGCAAUCCUGGUAUGCUCUCGACUUGGCCGGCUAG
rnacentral:rRNA from 1 species